rnacentral:rRNA from 1 species
CGGGAUAAGCCUGGGAAACUGGGUCUAAUACCGGAUAGGAGCCAUUUUUAGUGUGAUGGUUGGAAAGUUUUUUCGGUGUAGGAUGAGCUCGCGGCCUAUCAGCUUGUUGGUGGGGUAAUGGCCUACCAAGGCGUCGACGGGUAGCCGGCCUGAGAGGGUGUACGGCCACAUUGGGACUGAGAUACGGCCCAG